rnacentral:misc_RNA from 1 species
AACCUAGCACACCUGCGGUGUGUACCUGCGGAGGGAUCAUUAUAGUAUAUGGAAUCUCCAUUCUAUAAACCCACUCUGCGUAUCUUGUAACUGUUGCUUCCACGGGACUUGGUUCCGCCACACCGGCUUCACGGCUGGUGAGCGCCCAUGGAAGGAGAAACAAAACUCUUCUUUGAAAUGUAGUCAGUCUGAACAAGUUUUUAUAAACGUUAAAACUUUUAACAACGGAUCUCAGAUCGG